rnacentral:lncRNA from 1 species
CAGCUUCCCCUGUGAGAAGGACACAUAUAACAAUAAGAAAUUAAGGGUUCGGGAAGGAGAGGGGCCACCCUGUGCUCACCCCCACACAGCCCUGCAGGAAAACCCAGUGAACGGUGCCCAGGUGCCUGGCUGACUCCUGGGCCGGGAGGGGACAUGGAGGGACAGUGGCCAUCAGGCUCUUUGUGGACACUGGGGAUUAACUACUGCUCGUUCUCAGCUCACUGGUGUCCAGCCCAUCAAUAACCUCAUCAAUAACCUAACUUUGGUCAAUUAGGUUGGAGUCCGAAGGUGACUGAUUUGCGGCAAGGUUUUCUCUCUUCCUCUGUAAAGUGGAGUCCUUCAUCAUUCAUCGCAAGUAGACAACUCGCUUCCUAAUGCCUCUGCAUUAAGGAGCCAGGCGCUGCAGCUCUUUGGUACGUGACCUCAAAUAGAUUCAUGCGUCCUUCUGCUGACACGCUCCUGGGAAAUCCAGAAACUCUAGAGAAGCUUGUUUGCCAAACCUUGCUUUGGGCGGUGGAGACAGAAUAUCAUGUCCCAGAUCAGCGUGUGGUGACUGUGGAGGCAUUUACACACAGCACACU